rnacentral:rRNA from 1 species
AAUAGAUACCCGGGUAGUCCACGCCGUAAACGAUGAGUGCUAAGUGUUAGAGGGUUUCCGCCCUUUAGUGCUGUAGCUAACGCAUUAAGCACUCCGCCUGGGGAGUACGGCCGCAAGGCUGAAACUCAAAGGAAUUGACGGGGGCCCGCACAAGCGGUGGAGCAUGUGGUUUAAUUCGAAGCAACGCGAAGAACCUUACCAGGUCUUGACAUCCUCUGCCAACCCUAGAGAUAGGGCGUUCCCCUUCGGGGGACAGAGUGACAGGUGGUGCAUGGUUGUCGUCAGCUCGUGUCGUGAGAUGUUGGGUUAAGUCCCGCAACGAGCGCAACCCUUGAUCUUAGUUGCCAGCAUUCAGUUGGGCACUCUAAGGUGACUGCCGGUGACAAACCGGAGGAAGGUGGGGAUGACGUCAAAUCAUCAUGCCCCUUAUGACCUGGGCUACACACGUGCUACAAUGGAUGGUACAAAGAGCUGCAAACCCGCGAGGGUAAGCCAAUCUCAUAAAGCCAUUCUCAGUUCGGA